rnacentral:rRNA from 1 species
UACGGAGGGUGCAAGCGUUAUCCGGAUUCACUGGGUUUAAAGGGUGCGUAGGUGGGUUGGUAAGUCAGUGGUGAAAUCUCCAGGCUUAACUUGGAAACUGCCAUUGAUACUAUCAAUCUUGAAUACCGUGGAGGUCAGCGGAAUAUGUCAUGUAGCGGUGAAAUGCUUAGAUAUGACAUAGAACACCAAUUGCGAAGGCAGCUGGCUACACGAAUAUUGACGCUGAUGCACGAAAGCGUGGGGAUCAAACAGG